rnacentral:rRNA from 1 species
GAUGAACGCUGGCGGCGUGCCUAAUACAUGCAAGUCGAGCGAACAGACGAGGAGCUUGCUCCUCUGACGUUAGCGGCGGACGGGUGAGUAACACGUGGAUAACCUACCUAUAAGACUGGGAUAACUUCGGGAAACCGGAGCUAAUACCGGAUAAUAUAUUGAACCGCAUGGUUCAAUAGUGAAAGACGGUUUUGCUGUCACUUAUAGAUGGAUCCGCGCCGCAUUAGCUAGUUGGUAAGGUAACGGCUUACCAAGGUAACGAUGCGUAGCCGACCUGAGAGGGUGAUCGGCCACACUGGAACUGAGACACGGUCCAGACUCCUACGGGAGGCAGCAGUAGGGAAUCUUCCGCAAUGGGCGAAAGCCUGACGGAGCAACGCCGCGUGAGUGAUGAAGGUCUUCGGAUCGUAAAACUCUGUUAUUAGGGAAGAACAAAUGUGUAAGUAACUAUGCACGUCUUGACGGUACCUAAUCAGAAAGCCACGGCUAACUACGUG